UACGGAAGGGGCAAGCGUUAUUCGGAAUUAUUGGGCGUAAAGGGCGCGUAGGCGGCCUUGCAAGUGACGGGUGAAAUCCCUCGGCUUAACCGAGGAACUGCCUGUCAAACUGCAUGGCUUGAGUCCGGAAGAGGAGAGUGGAAUUCCUGGUGUAGCGGUGAAAUGCGCAGAUAUCAGGAAGAACACCCGUGGCGAAGGCGGCUCUCUGGGACGGUACUGACGCUGAGACGCGAAAGCGUGGGGAGCGAACAGG
rnacentral:rRNA from 1 species